UAAAUAGUGUAUUACCACCUAAUAAUUUGUGCCAAGACACGCUAUGAGUCUCUCUCAUAUUUAUUGUGAGGCUCACAGUGGCAUCUUAAAUAGGGUAGGAAUGUGGUUACCCUUGUUGCCAAAAACUUCCAAUCUGAAUCUUCCACUUUGUCUAUGUGCUGCGGCUGCACUAGCUAGGUGUGAACGACGACUAUAGUCCUUCCUUCAUUAUUCAAGUAUAUACCAAGCUUGAUUGUGUUUGUUCACGUUGGGCUUAACAAAGCGUUGCUUACAGAGUUUAUUGGCAUUCUGUCCACCUCCUCCGAUCUUCAUUCUUUUUGACAUCAAAAUUCUUGGGAGGUGGACAUACUGCCAACAGAGUUCUGUUAGCUUCUCUUUGUAAAAACUCUUCGUGAUAUAUACAUGUAUUUUUAUAUUUAUCUCCGAUAUCCUUCCUUCCCUUAAUUAAGGGUUUCAAGAAGGUAAUGAUGAUGAUAUCGAUUACAUCUCUCCCUUGGAGAGGGGUUGAAUGUUUUUCUGUUUCUCUUUCAUCAUAACCAAAUGAAGUUUCAUGGUUUGGAUCUGCACUUUAAUUUUUGCAUAUGUAGCUCAAGUUUUUUUUUUUUAAAUAAUUCCCUUACAUGAAAGUAGUAGAUUUCAGUUUGUGACGGGUUCAUGCACGAUUGCCACAGAUUGUGUCACUAUAAAUUUGUAAUUUAAAAAUAUGGUUGAGUUAGUCUAGUUUUUUUUUAUUGAAAAAUCAGUUAAAAUCUAUUUAAAAAAAAAAUUGAUCUGAUAUUCAAAAUCUUUUUUAACAGGGAAUGAGAAUGGCCGAAUGGAUUGUACUUAGUAGUUAGCAUUAAUUUAAGGGGUGACCUUUCCAUUUACCUAAUAAGUUUAUACGCUACUCCACUACUUCCCUCUGAAUGUAAGUGUAGCCUCAUCAUUAGGAUCUGACAUUUAUCUCUUAUUUUCAAUGCAACACAACCAACCACUCUCUUCCCGUGGCGCGUGCAUGCUCUUUGCUUAAUUUUCAUUAAUUUUCAUAUGAAUAUGAGGGAACAGCUAGUAGCUAGCUAGUAAGUAUAGUCACGGUCUAUUAACAAUUAUUUGCAUUAUAUUUUGCAGUAAUAAUCCUGAUAUAUGUUGUACUAGUCAAAAUCUCUUUAAUUUGGUUCAAGUGUACGUACAAACCCCACCACACAGAGUGCAAAGGAAUUAAGCCUAUCUUAGAGGCUUAUAUUAAUUCUGGGGGGACCAUUCUAUUGUCUUUAUUGUAGCCAUAAGGCACAGAUUUGUUUUGACUCUGAAGUUGUAGACCUUCCCUUACCUUUCUUUUGCACACAGCGAAAUUAGCAAACUUGCAACUACCUCAUUUACUAUUGAAAAAUCUCACAGCGAAAUAAUGUGGUAGAAAAAGAAAAGGAAAAUAGAAUAAGAAAAAAAAAAGAGAAAAUAGGAGUAGUACUACUUGAAAGUUGAAAACCCCAAAUUGAUACAUGUGAACCUUAUUACCCUUCCAUGUGUUCACAAAUUUUGAUGGGUCUUAAUUUCAUAGUAGCCUUUGAACUUUGAAGAUGCCAAAUUAAAUAAGUAGAUAUAGCUAACUAGCUAGGCAUUUAUCCAACAAAGUGGACCAAGGAAAGAAUGAAAUUUUGCAUGUAGUUACAGUAUAUUAUCCAUUCUCGUUCCACCCUGAUGUAAUCAUUAGUCUAAGUCCUUUUUUCUUGAGUGUUUGGCUUUGGACAUUGGUGGUAAUGAUGAAGCUCCCACAUUACAGUCAAACAAAACAACCUUUUGCCACAAACCUAUAACAUGAAAUGAAGCAUUGAGGACGAAUGGGUGGAUGCAUGCUUUCCUUAGGAUAUUUUGGAUAUUUAAUAUAUAGUUAAUGAUGCUGCUUUUUUUUGUUCAUUAUUUCAAUUUUUUAAUUUUUUUUUAGAACCUGUGUUUUAAUUUCCUUAUUUAUAUAUAAAAAGAAAAGUUAUGCAUAGGAAUGGAUGUAUGAUGAUCACUAUGCAUAUUGCAAAAUUAGAAUCUUAUCGUCAAAAUUACCUCAAGAAAAGGAACUAAUUAAUAUCCAAGUUUCAUGGGAAUUAAUUAUGCAUAAAGGAAUGGAUGUAUAUCACUGUGCGUAAGUACAUUACAAGAAAAUAGGUAUGUGGCCAUGCUUUUUUUUUUACUAUGUUUUUAUAAUUUUAUAUUUUCUUUUUUUAUUCU